rnacentral:rRNA from 1 species
AACGAACGCUGGCGGCAUGCCUAACACAUGUAAGUCGAACGAGACCUUCGGGUCUAGUGGCGCACGGGUGCGUAACGCGUGGGAAUCUGCCCUUGGGUUCGGAAUAACAGUUGGAAACGACUGCUAAUACCGGAUGAUGACGUAAGUCCAAAGAUUUAUCGCCCAAGGAUGAGCCCGCGUAGGAUUAGCUAGUUGGUGAGGUAAAGGCUCACCAAGGCGACGAUCCUUAGCUGGUCUGAGAGGAUGAUCAGCCACACUGGGACUGAGACACGGCCCAGACUCCUACGGGAGGCAGCAGUGGGGAAUAUUGGACAAUGGGCGAAAGCCUGAUCCAGCAAUGCCGCGUGAGUGAUGAAGGCCUUAGGGUUGUAAAGCUCUUUUACCCGGGAUGAUAAUGACAGUACCGGGAGAAUAAGCUCCGGCUAACUCCGUG